AUACGUAUGGUGCAAGCGUUAUCCGGAUUUACUGGGUGUAAAGGGAGUGUAGGUGGUCUGACAAGUCAGAGGUGAAAGCCCGGGGCUCAACCCCGGGACUGCCUUUGAAACUGUCAGACUAGAGUGCAGGAGAGGUAAGUGGAAUUCCUAGUGUAGCGGUGAAAUGCGUAGAUAUUAGGAGGAACACCAGUAGCGAAGGCGGCUUUCUGGACUGUAACUGACACUGAGGCACGAAAGCGUGGGGAGC
rnacentral:rRNA from 1 species